rnacentral:rRNA from 1 species
ACCCGCUGAACUUAAGCAUAUCAAUAAGCGGAGGAAAAGAAACCAACAGGGAUUGCCCCAGUAACGGCGAGUGAAGCGGCAACAGCUCAGAUUUGGAAUCUGGCCCCCCCCGGGGGCCCGAGUUGUAAUCUGGAGAGGAUGCUUCUGGCGCGGCGCCCGGCGAGUUCCCUGGAACGGGACGCCGGAGAGGGUGAGAGCCCCGUACUCCGGGCCGCCUAGCCUCUGCGAAGCUCCUUCGACGAGUCGAGUAGUUUGGGAAUGCUGCUCUAAACGGGAGGUAAAUUUCUUCUAAAGCUAAAUACCGGCCAGAGACCGAUAGCGCACAAGUAGAGUGAUCGAAAGAUGAAAAGCACUUUGAAAAGAGGGUCAAACAGUACGUGAAAUUGUUGAAAGGGAAGCGCCCGUGGCCAGACUUGCGCCCCGCGGCUCACCCGGCGGACCCCGCCGGGGCACGCCGCGGGGCGCAGGCCAGCAUCGGCUUCCCCAGGGGGACAAGGACGGCGGGAACGUGGCUCCUCCGGGAGUGUUAUAGCCCGCCGCGCCAUGCCCCUGGGGGGGCCGAGGACCGCGCUUCGGCAAGGAUGCUGGCGUAAUGGCCACCGGCGACCCGUCUUGAAACACGGACCAAGGAGUCAAGCAUUGGGGCGAGUGUCUGGGUGGCAAACCCGCACGCGAAAUGAAAGUGAACGCAGGUGAGAGCUUCGGCGCACCACCGACCGAUCCUGAUGUCCUCGGAUGGAUUUGAGUAAGAGCCCCACCGCUUGGACCCGAAAGAUGGUGAACUAUGCCUGAAUAGGGUGAAGCCAGAGGAAACUCUGGUGGAGGCUCGCAGCGGUUCUGACGUGCAAAUCGAUCGUCAAAUUUGGGCAUGGGGGCGAAAGACUAAUCGAACCAUCUAGUAGCUGGUUACCGCCGAAGUUUCCCUCAGGAUAGCAGUGUUGUUCUUCAGUUUUAUGAGGUAAAGCGAAUGAUUAGGGACUCGGGGGCGCUCUUUAGCCUUCAUCCAUUCUCAAACUUUAAAUAUGUAAGAAGCCCCUGUUGCUUCGGUGAACGGGGGCCUUCGAAUGCACCAACACUAGUGGGCCAUUUUUGGUAAGCAGAACUGGCGAUGCGGGAUGAACCGAACGCGGGGUUAAGGCGCCGGAGUGGACGCUCAUCAGACACCACAAAAGGCGUUAGUACAUCUUGACAGCAGGACGGUGGCCAUGGAAGUCGGAAUCCGCUAAGGACUGUGUAACAACUCACCUGCCGAAUGUACUAGCCCUGAAAAUGGAUGGCGCUCAAGCGUCCCGCCCAUACCCCGCCCUCAGGGCAGGAACCAGGCCCUGAGGAGUAGGCGGCCGUGGGGGUCCGUGACGAAGCCCAGGGCGCGAGCCCGGGUCGAACGGCCCCUAGUGCAGAUCUUGGUGGUAG